UACAGAGGUCCCAAGCCGUUGUUCGGAUUCAUUGGGCGUAAAGGGUGUGUAGGUGGCGCUGUAAGUCGGGUGUGAAAUUUCGGAGCUUAACUCCGAAACUGCAUUCGAUACUGCGGUGCUUGAGGACUGGAGAGGAGACUGGAAUUCAUGGUGUAGCAGUGAAAUGCGUAGAGAUCAUGAGGAAGACCAGUGGCGAAGGCGGGUCUCUGGACAGUUCCUGACGCUGAGGCACGAAGGCCAGGGGAGCAAACGGG
rnacentral:rRNA from 1 species